rnacentral:rRNA from 1 species
CCUUGUACACACCGCCCGUCACGCCAUGGGAGUGGAUUGCACCAGAAGUAGGUAGGUUAACCGCAAGGGGACCGCUUACCACGGUGUGUUUCAUGACUGGGGUG